UACGUAGGGCGCAAGCGUUGUCCGGAAUUAUUGGGCGUAAAGAGCUCGUAGGCGGUCUGUCGCGUCGGCUGUGAAAUCCCGAGGCUCAACCUCGGGUCUGCAGUCGAUACGGGCAAACUGGAGUGUUGCAGGGGAGACUGGAAUUCCUGGUGUAGCGGUGAAAUGCGCAGAUAUCAGGAGGAACACCGAUGGCGAAGGCAGCUGCCUGGCCUAGAACUGACGCUGAGGUGCGAAAGCGUGGGGAGCGAACGGG
rnacentral:rRNA from 1 species